rnacentral:sRNA from 1 species
AAAUUAAAAUCGAGAUGGACCUUGAGGAAGAUCACAUGAGGGCUGAUGGGGAAGAGGCAUUUGAAGAGCCUUGAAAUCAGCAAAACAAUAAUCAGAGAGCAGUUCUGUCAAGGAAAACAACAUAAAUCAGGUACAGAAUUUCAGAGUGGGAUAUCAGAUCUUUAGUGGGAAGAUACAUCUACAUUAAACCAGAAAUCACUAGAAGUGACAUUUGGACAAGAAAAUUUGGAAAAUUUUAAAACUGUGAAGGUUGAUCAUGGAAAUUAAAGAGGAAGGGGCAUCAGAAGAAGGGCAGCACUUUCUUCCCACAGCCCAGGCCAGUGAUCCUGGGGACUGUCAGUUUACAAGUAUCCAGAAGACUCCAAAUGAACCACAGUUGGAAUUCAUCCUUGCUGCAGCUAUCUGAAUAAUGGGAUCAGGCCUGGUGAUUGGAUGCUGCUGAACAUCUACAUGCAAGGAUCUCGUGGCUCCUGUCCGUGAUCGUAAACUGAAUACACUGGUGCAGAUCUCCGUAAUCCACCCCGUGGAGCAGAGUCUGACAAGAUAUUC